GGAGUUAUGGCUCAGUGGUAGAGUGCUUGCCUAGAAAGUACAGGCCCUGAGUUCAAACCUUAGUACUUCA
rnacentral:tRNA from 1 species